GUGCCUACAUUACCCAGUCUGUUCAAUACCAGUGCUCUCAACCUGACAUCACACGAGAGGUGCUCCAGCUCUCUGAUCAUCUUUGUGACCUCUGGGCUCACUCCAACAGGCAUAUUUAUGUUCAGCAAAUGUGAGGCAUAGCAGAACUACAGGGCAAACACCAGAACAAGAAAGAGAAUCUGGAAACACAGGAAAAGCGAGAACUCAGAGCUGGAGAAGAGGUCUGCUUCAUGGAAGGAAAAAAAGAGGCCGGAACACAAGAUAAACUGGAAAAUGAGAAUGUGCACAUUUAGCGGACCAAAGAAAGUGGAAUGGAGAGCCAAGGAGUCUUGGUAGCCAGUGUAGAAAAGAAACAGAACUUGUACCAGGAAAAAGCCCUAAUUAUGAGAAGUAAAAUUAAAAUCCUAUCACAGAAGCUGAUGUAAACAAAACAAGAACUGAAAAGCAGGAUUGGGUUAGGGUUCUUGAAAAUAUCAGAGAGGACUCUACUGAGUGUUCUUGGCAUAAGGACAAGAACUUACACUGGAGUGGGUCAAGACUUUCUGCACUAGCCAAAAUGUGCAAAGAAGAGAAGGUUUAAGUUAUAUCUCUGGAAUUCAUCCAUUCCCAAGAGAGGAAUCUAAGUGCAUAGCAACAAGAACUAAAAACAAACAACAUGAGUUGGUUAUGAUGAAAAAAAUCUGACUUCCAGUAACAGUGUGCUUGCCAUAAGAAGAAGAGCUAAACCUCUGCAUUCUUGUUCUUGGGAUAAGCAUGUAUUUGAGGUUACUCCAUUUCAGUUUCUUUCAGCUGAGAUGUUUAUGCAUGGCAGAGGAACAAUUUCUUCUAUGUCCCAAUCAGCACCACCAAGAUUACCUGAUAAAGAAAGCACUCCGAGAAAAUUCCUUGAAUGUUAAGAGCCGCUGUCACAGAUGGAAAAUGGCUGCAAAGAACUGACUGGAUCUUCACUGAACAGGGAUGGAAGUCAUGUAUCUGAAGUCCAGUUGUCCCUCAGAAACAUCUAAGAUUCCAUGUCCUGCCUGGCCCAAGAUCCCUGCUAGGCAAGACUCAGACAGACGUUAAUGUGAACGUGACACACAGAGAGGACAUCCAGCCUAUUGCAUGCAGUCCAAAUUAACCUGUGGACUCCCUGUUAAUUCCACUGGAUGUGUCUGGGGUAUGUACCAGCUCUGGGGAUGUCUGCCAUGUCCACUGAUCACAAAAGGAGCCUGAUCAGCUCUUCCAGAAAUGUGCAACUGUUUCAGUAACACAGGCUAGUGGAAAUUAAAAUUUGUACUAGCAGUGGAAUUUGAUGGGCAGCCCUUAGAACAAAAUAAGCAAUGAG